CUAGGGCCUGACUUGACAGGAUAAAAGAUGAAGAAGGGAAGUCACUUGCUUCAUGGCCAGGGAAGGGCUCCAGCAAGACAUGGGCUCCUGAAAGUGACAGUGUGUGAAGGCCCGGAGAGGCACAGGACCUGCUGGAGGAUGCCAAAGUAAACUUGGUGGCCACAUGUCAAAGACGGAGAUGCACAAAAUGGGAGGAACCUAGAUCCCUGAAUGACUUUGUGGAGCUGAGCCCCUAGGCCACCCUGCAUUGGAUGUGAAAUGAGUGAGAAAUAAACCUUUGGAGUUUCAAUCCA
rnacentral:lncRNA from 1 species